GACGAACGCUGGCGGCGUGCUUAACACAUGCAAGUCGAACGGAAAGGCCCUGCUUUUGUGGGGUGCUCGAGUGGCGAACGGGUGAGUAACACGUGAGUAACCUGCCCUUGACUUUGGGAUAACUUCAGGAAACUGGGGCUAAUACCGGAUAGGAGCUCCUGCUGCAUGGUGGGGGUUGGAAAGUUUCGGCGGUUGGGGAUGGACUCGCGGCUUAUCAGCUUGUUGGUGGGGUAGUGGCUUACCAAGGCUUUGACGGGUAGCCGGCCUGAGAGGGUGACCGGCCACAUGGGGACUGAGAUACGGCCCAGACUCGUACGGGAGGCAGCAGUGGGGAAUAUUGCACAAUGGGCGGAAGCCUAAUGCAGCAACGCCGCGUGCGGAAUGACGGCCUUCGGGUUGUAAACCGCUUUAGCCUGUGACGAAGCGUGAGUGACGGUAAUGGGUAAAGAAGCACCGGCUAACUACGUG
rnacentral:rRNA from 1 species